UUUUAUAUUUUAUUUCAAUGCAAUCAGUGUAUUUUCCUUUGUAAGAAUGCUGAUGUACAUGUUUGCGUUUAUUGUGAUUCGGGCAUUUAUUUUCAUAAGGGAAUGUCUUCGUGGAAAUUAGACAAUUUAAGUAUCAUACGUAAAAUUUAAACAAGUCUGUUCUCUAUUUAGUUGGUGCUAGACAAUUUUCUAAUGUGUUAUUUUAUUCUCACAUGAAAUGGUUUUGAUUAAGAUUCUAAAAUUAAAUGCAGGCCAUGUUUUUUAUGGAAUUACUAAAACAGAUUUUGUUUAAAGACCAAAUAGCUGUAAAAGAAUCAGCUUAAUACAGAUAUUAAUUUCUCAGACUAUUAGAUUACCCAUUUGGCAGAAAGGCAAGGUUCUUAAUCUUUAUUUAGGAUGAAUUUGGUAUUAUUGUUUUCAAAGAAAUGAUUUGAAAUGAAUUAAUCACUAGUAACUUUUUUCUGAAUAAACAUUGAAAUCAGUACUACGAUAGGUAUGUUAAACAACCUUGACUACCCAUGAGGGUCUCCCUCAGCGGGGUCUUAAUCUACAGCUAUUGCAUUAGAUUUUAUGGAAUGAAUGACUUGUGCAUGUCAAUUUUGAACAUACAUGUAAUGAUGUAAGGGAAAAAUAUUAAUAAAUUUUGACACUUGCCAUUCAAAAUCUUUUUUCAAAUUGAUGGAAAAUGUAGUUCAGAGAAUCUAAAUAUUAAAUAUACAGGAAAUGUUGUGUGUAUAACUUCAAUAAGUGCAAAUCAAAAUUUAUUUUACCUUGAUGAUGAUGUGGGUUUUUAACGACCUUGACUGGCUAUAAUUAAAACCCUUUCACGGUCAGGCUUCAAAUAUUUCAAACCUACUUAUAUUUUGUAUCUACCUCUCUAAUUAGUAUAUAACCUAAAAUUCCUCCUUAGCUAGUUUAUAAUAGAAUGCUUUGUAUUCAGAAUUGCCAGU
rnacentral:lncRNA from 1 species